CCCGUGAGUACUGGAACCUGCCUGUCCCUUAAUCAAUCUGUGCUCUCUGGAAACUGGAUCUUGGAACUGGACCCGGACCCUUCUUUGGAUUUCCCCUUGGAUUUGUCGCCUGGACGUAUUGGCCUUCCCCGUGACCGAACUCAGACUGCCCCUGGACGACGCCCCCCGGAUUUCCCUGUCGCUCGGCUUCCGACACGCUUUGGAGCAAGGACUCCUAAAGAAGUCAUCUCCCCAUCAGGAGUUGUCGGCCCGUAAGCACGAGCAGCACGUCCCGAAAGCCUCCGCUUCCCUGUUUUUUCAAUAAAAUCGGCUCAAGAGCCA